AUACGUAGGGGGCGAGCGUUGUCCGGAAUGAUUGGGCGUAAAGGGCGCGUAGGCGGCCCGGUAAGUCUGAAGUGAAAGUCCUGCUUUUAAGGUGGGAAUUGCUUUGGAUACUGUCGGGCUUGAGUGCAGGAGAGGUAAGUGGAAUUCCCAGUGUAGCGGUGAAAUGCGUAGAGAUUGGGAGGAACACCAGUGGCGAAGGCGACUUACUGGACUGUAACUGACGCUGAGGCGCGAAAGUGUGGGGAGCAAACAGGAUUAGAUACCCUGGUAGUCCACACUGUAAACGAUGAAUGCUAGGUGUAGGGGGUAUCGACCCCUUCUGUGCCGCAGUUAACACAAUAAGCAUUCCGCCUGGGGAGUACGGCCGCAAGGUUGAAACUCAAAGGAAUUGACGGGG
rnacentral:rRNA from 1 species